AUUGAACGCUGGCGGAAUGCUUUACACAUGCAAGUCGAACGGCAGCACGGACUUCGGUCUGGUGGUGAGUGGCGAACGGGUGAGUAAUGUAUCGGAACGUGCCCAGUCGUGGGGGAUAACGUAGUGAAAAUUACGCUAAUACCGCAUACGAUCUAUGGAUGAAAGCGGGGGAUCGCAAGACCUCGCGCGAUUGGAGCGGCCGAUAUCAGAUUAGGUAGUUGGUGGGGUAAAGGCCCACCAAGCCAACGACCUGUAGCUGGUCUGAGAGGACGACCAGCCACACUGGAACUGAGACACGGUCCAGACUCCUACGGGAGGCAGCAGUGGGGAAUUUUGGACAAUGGGCGAAAGCCUGAUCCAGCCAUUCCGCGUGCAGGAUGAAGGCCCUCGGGUUGUAAACUGCUUUUGUACAGAACGAAAAGGUUUCUACUAAUACUAGGAGCUCAUGACGGUACUGUAAGAAUAAGCACCGGCUAACUACGUGCCAGCCGCCGCAGUAA
rnacentral:rRNA from 1 species